rnacentral:tRNA from 1 species
GUCUUAGUAGUAUAAAAAUUACAUCGGCCUUGUAAGCCAAAAAUGGAGAACCUAAUCUCCCUAAGACA